rnacentral:rRNA from 1 species
GAGUACCACGAGACACGUGAAACCUUGUGGGAAGCAGGGAGGACCACCUCCCAAGGCUAAAUACUACCUGAUGACCGAUAGUGAAGCAGUACCGUGAGGGAAAGGUGAAAAGAACCCCGGGAGGGGAGUGAAAUAGAACCUGAAACCGUGUGCCUACAACCGGUCAAAGCCCCUUAUAAGGGUGAUGACGUGCUUUUUGUAGAACGAGCCAACGAGUUACGGUAUGUAGCAAGGUUAAGUACUUAAGGUACGGAGCCGAAGGGAAACCGAGUCUUAAUAGGGCGACUAGUUGCAUGCCGUAGACCCGAAACCGGGUGACCUAUCCAUGGCCAGGUUGAAGCGAGGGUAAAACUUCGUGGAGGACCGAACCACGUUGCUGUUGAAAAAGCAUGGGAUGAGCUGUGGAUAGCGGAGAAAUUCCAAUCGAACUCGGAGAUAGCUGGUUCUCCCCGAAAUAGCUUUAGGGCUAGCGUCGGAUAUGUGUAGUGGAGGUAGAGCACUGAAUGGGCUAGGGGGCAUAUCGCUUACCGAACCUUAUCAAACUCCGAAUGCCAUAUACAUUAAGUCCGGCAGUCAGACUACGAAUGAUAAGAUCCGUGGUCAAAAGGGAAACAGCCCAGACCGUCAGCUAAGGUCCCAAAGUGUAAGUUAAGUGGUAAAGGAUGUGGGAUUUCUAAGACAACUAGGAUGUUGGCUUAGAAGCAGCCACUCAUUUAAAGAGUGCGUAAUAGCUCACUAGUCGAGUGAUUGUGCGCCGAAAAUGUAACGGGGCUAAAAUUCAUACCGAAGCUUAGGCUUUGCACACUUUGUGUGCGAGGGGUAGAUGAGCGUUGUGUAAGUCUGCGAAGCUACACCGAAAGGAGUAGUGGAGAUAUCACAAGUGAGAAUGCCGGAAUGAGUAGCGAGAAUUAUGUGAGAAUCAUAAUGGUCGAAAAUCUAAGGUUUCUUGAGGAAGGUUCGUCCGCUCAAGGUAAGCCGGGAGCUAAGGCGAGGCCGAGAGGCGUAGUCGAUGCACAUACGGUAAAGAUUCCGUAGCCACCGAAGUCGUUAAAUACAGGGACACAGGAACAUAGCCUAACCCCACCGUUGGUUGAGUGGGGCGUAAGGGAGCGAAAAUUAGUAGCGAAGUGGGUGAUUGUACACUGGCGAGAAAAGCUGUAUGGAUUGACAAGGUGCCCGUACCGCAAACCGACACAGGUAGAUGAGGAGAGAAUCCUAAGACCAGCGGGAGAAGUGUUGUUAAGGAACUCGGCAAAAUGACCCCGUAACUUCGGGAUAAGGGGAGCCUACGCGAGUAGGCCGCAGAGAAUAGUCUCAAGCGACUGUUUAGCAAAAACACAGGUCUAUGCUAAAUCGAAAGAUGAUGUAUAUGGGCUGACGCCUGCCCGGUGCUGGAAGGUUAAGGGGAAGUGUUAGAGUAAUCGAAGCACUGAACUUAAGCCCCAGUAAACGGCGGCCGUAACUAUAACGGUCCUAAGGUAGCGAAAUUCCUUGUCAGGUAAGUUCUGACCCGCACGAAUGGCGUAACGAUUUGGGCACUGUCUCAACAGCCCGCCCGGCGAAAUUGUAGUACCGGUGAAGAUGCCGGUUUCCCGCAACUAGACGGAAAGACCCCAUGGAGCUUUACUGUAGCUUGAUAUUGGAUCUCGGUAUUCCAUGUACAGGAUAGGUGGGAGGCUAGGAAGCGAGCGCGCCAGCGUUCGUGGAGCCAACCUUGGGAUACCACUCUUGGGAUAUUGGGAUUCUAACCUGCGACCAUGAAUCUGGUCGGGGGACACUGUCAGGUGGGCAGUUUGACUGGGGCGGUCGCCUCCCAAAGAGUAACGGAGGCGCUCAAAGGUUCGUUCAGCACGGAUGGAAAUCGUGCACUGAGUGUAAA